AGCGAACGCUGGCGGCAGGCUUAACACAUGCAAGUCGAGCGGGCCCUUCGGGGUCAGCGGCGGACGGGUGAGUAACGCGUGGGAACGUGCCUUCUGGUUCGGAAUAACUCAGGGAAACUUGAGCUAAUACCGGAUACGCCCUUCUGGGGAAAGGUUUACUGCCGGAAGAUCGGCCCGCGUCUGAUUAGCUAGUUGGUGGGGUAACGGCCUACCAAGGCGACGAUCAGUAGCUGGUCUGAGAGGAUGAUCAGCCACACUGGGACUGAGACACGGCCCAGACUCCUGCGGGAGGCAGCAGUGGGGAAUAUUGGACAAUGGGCGCAAGCCUGAUCCAGCCAUGCCGCGUGAGUGAUGAAGGCCUUAGGGUUGUAAAGCUCUUUUAUCCGGGACGAUAAUGACGGUACCGGAGGAAUAAGCCCCGGCUAACUUCGUG
rnacentral:rRNA from 1 species